UACGUAGGGGGCAAGCGUUGUCCGGAAUCAUUGGGCGUAAAGAGCGCGUAGGCGGCCCGGUAAGUCCGCUGUGAAAGUCAAAGGCUCAACCUUUGAAUGUCAGCGGAUACUGCCGGGCUAGAGUCCGGAAGAGGAGAGUGGAAUUCCUGGUGUAGCGGUGAAAUGCGCAGAUAUCAGGAAGAACACCUAUGGCGAAGGCAGCUCUCUGGGACGGUACUGACGCUGAGACGCGAAAGCGUGGGGAGCGAACAGG
rnacentral:rRNA from 1 species